UGGAGUAUACAGCAUUACUUGUUUGGUCAUCUGCAUUCAGAUGAUACCACACUUCCUCUCUGAUUAAAGAUAUCAUGCCUCCUCAAUGCAAAGAGAGUUAGCUUCAAAAUGGACGUGUCACUGACUGACAACAGAGAUGCCAAAAGUAUCUGUUUGCUGUAUCCUAUUUGUUCAGUAUGGAAAUUCCAAAAGCCAUCACUCAGUUUCUUUCAUUCAGCACUAUAUAGCCCUUCCCAGUGCUGAAAUUGUCAUGGUUCCUUUGUUUUUAUUGUUUAAAUGCUUAUGAAUGAUAAAUUAUUUAUUAAUGCUUAUGAAUUAAAAAAAACAAUACUGAUACAAGUCAGAAACAUGUGGAAUUACCAGGUUCGCCAUCUUAUAUGGGUUACAGAAUUGGGGAAAGUUACCACAAAAAAAAAUAAAAAAUAAAAAA